ensembl:lncRNA
CAUCACUCCCCUCCAUGUUCAUUCUUAAAAGUGUUCCAGUUUGGACAGUAAGUUUUAUGGUCACCCGUUGGUGAUUAAAUGACAGGAGCAUGAGAAAUAGAUGAAAACAAGUUCUUAAAGAAAAUAUAAACCAUGAGGAUCAUCAAGAAAUACUUGCUGGCAGCUCAGAGUAUAAGCUGUCAGAAUUUAUGGGCAAAUGUGAACUUCACUAUGAAUUUCUCCUAAAAAUUUGAUUUACAGUUUACUUUCUCAAGAUUCAUUUUGAAUUACGGAGAUCAUAUUCUACUGUAACCUCUUAUGAAAGGAUUUCAAAAUCAGUGAUAUAAUCACAAAUGGAAUUUCAAGAAACAUUUUAUGAAACCUUAUGCCCUCUAAGCUAGAGGGAUACACUAUUUCUAGUCUGAGACACACGGAAACACCAUGGAAAAUUGCCUCCUAACAGCAAGGAGCAAACAGCUUUAAAAAAUAGAUAAAUUUAUAGAAAAGUGAUAGAGAAGUGGAUGUGCUGUGUAUAAUAAGGAAGUGAAGUGCAUAAAGAAUCGAAAAAGGAAUUCAGAAGCAGCCGGAUGUACUGUCUAUAGGACGGGGUUAGACUGAGUACUCCCUGCUUCACUGAAUACCUGCUUCAAAUCACCUUUCACAUUUUCUUGUUGGAAAGACAACCAUUGGAGAAUUAUCUUGUUACCGUCAGCAAAAAUGGAAACAGAUCAAAACAUUAAGAAUGCCACGGCGGCCAGCAGUUAAUGAUGCCAGUGUUAUGCAAGCUUCAGCAAAGGAAGUUUUCAAGACAGUGUGCCUCACUAGCCAGAAAUCAGAGAUCAAACCUAUUCUUUUUGUCUCAGCUGCUCCUUAAAUCAGUGCAACCCCUCCAAAUUAAUGUGAACUGAAAUGUGCAUGGCCUUUUCAACUUAACUGAGUACUUACUAUGUGUGAAUCACUGAACAAAAGAGAGGAGAGAAAAUGAGGGAGACAAAUAAGUUGUGGUUCCUGUGUUCAAUGUAUUUACAAUUAGUUUUAGGGCACAUUUGUUUUUUUGUCUUCUGCUCUUAAUUAAAUGUGUCCCUAAGACAGGAAACAAAUGAAUGGAAAAGUGUAUUCAGUAAGUAUUCCUUUUAAUAAAAAACAAAACAAGACAAAAAAACCUCCUAAUGUGGGCAACUCAGGACAUCUUAAUUCCUUUUUUUUUGGACUUCCAAUAGGUAGGGUUCAUUUUAUUGAUUCCAUAUUCAAUAGACUUUAGAGAUAUUAACACAUUAUAGUUGGAGUUAAUUUGACUUAAAUCUUUUUUCCCACUUAGGUGUAGUUGGCUGUUGCAAAAAUAUUUUGUGUUUGUACAUUUCUUGAGGAGUGGGGAGGCAAAUUACAUCUGUUGUCUGUAUAGGCCCUACCUUCCAUGCCCUGGGGGCCUGCCAUUCUGGGUGAGUUAUUAGCAUGGAGAAGGGGAAGAUUUGGAUCAAUCUUGGGGGUAUUGCUUGUGGACCCAAGAGAGGACAGGGAAGGAGCCAAACAGACCUGGGUAAUGGCUCUGUGUGAACAUUUGGCUAACUAUGUCAGUGUUGACUGUGUUGUCCUCUGUGUUCCAUAAAUUGAAUGACUAUACAAUUUUUCUGAAAAAUUAUUUCUGGUCUGAGAAUAAGUACAGGUCAUGAUUUUUUCAGUGUUGACACUAACAUGACUGUAGACACUAGACAUUUUAUGUAGUGUCUGUGACACAUUUUAGUAUGUAUGAGCCAACCAAAAACAUAUCUUUGUCUUGAGUAGUGUCCAUCUGAAUUGAAAAUGUGCCAGCGUUUUUUUCAGCAUCAUCAACAGACUUCUUAAUUAAGCUGCCAAUACAUACUGCCAAUAGCACUGUGUGCCAUUUGAGAAAUGAAUUGUGUAAGUACUGUUUCCCUCUUAUUGAUAAACAAUGUUUCUCCAUAAAAAACGAGUUUAAAGUGUUCUUUGAAUGGGGUGUUAUAUUGUUCCCUAAAGAAUUUGGUGAGAAUUC